AGUGCGGCGUGCUAUACAUGCAAGUCGAGCGCAGGAAGCUCACGGAACUCUUCGGAGGGAAGUGAAGGGAAUGAGCGGCGGACGGGUGAGUAACACGUAAGGAACCUGCCCCAAGGAUUGGGAUAACUCCGAGAAAUCGGAGCUAAUACCGAAUAGUUCUUCAGACCGCAUGGUCUGAUGAUGAAAGGCGCUCCGGCGUCACCUUGGGAUGGCCUUGCGGUGCAUUAGCUAGUUGGUGGGGUAAUGGCCCACCAAGGCGACGAUGCAUAGCCGACCUGAGAGGGUGAUCGGCCACACUGGGACUGAGACACGGCCCAGACUCCUACGGGAGGCAGCAGUAGGGAAUCUUCCACAAUGGACGAAAGUCUGAUGGAGCAACGCCGCGUGAGUGAUGAAGGUUUUCGGAUCGUAAAACUCUGUUGUAAGGGAAGAACAAGUACGAGAGGUAAUGCUCGUACCUUGACGGUACCUUGCGAGAAAGCCACGGCUAACUACGUGCCAGCAGCCGCGGUAAUACGUAGGUGGCAAGCGUUGUCCGGAAUUAUUGGGCGUAAAGCGCGCGCAGGCGGCCUUUUAAGUCUGAUGUGAAAGCCCCCGGCUCAACCGGGGAGGGUCAUUGGAAACUGGAAGGCUUGAGUACAGAAGAGAAGAGUGGAAUUCCAUGUGUAGCGGUGAAAUGCGUAGAGAUGUGGAGGAACACCAGUGGCGAAGGCGACUCUUUGGUCUGUAACUGACGCUGAGGCGCGAAAGCGUGGGGAGCAAACAGGAUUAGAUACCCUGGUAGUCCACGCCGUAAACGAUGAGUGCUAGGUGUUGGGGGGUUUCCGCCCCUCAGUGCUGAAGCUAACGCAUUAAGCACUCCGCCUGGGGAGUACGGCCGCAAGGCUGAAACUCAGAGGUUUGUUGCGCG
rnacentral:rRNA from 1 species